rnacentral:rRNA from 1 species
UACAGAGGUCUCAAGCGUUGUUCGGAUUCAUUGGGCGUAAAGGGUGCGUAGGUGGCGCCGUAAGUCGGAUGUGAAAUUUCGGAGCUUAACUCCGAAACUGCAUUCGAUACUGCGGUGCUUGAGGACUGGAGAGGAGACUGGAAUUCAUGGUGUAGCAGUGAAAUGCGUAGAUAUCAGGAGGAAUACCGAUGGCGAAGGCAGGUCUCUGGGCUGACACUGACGCUCAUGCACGAAAGCGUGGGGAGCAAACAGG